rfam:Aedes albopictus isolate Foshan contig158584, whole genome shotgun sequence.
UAGCCUAGUGGUUAAGGCUAUGAAUCGCUAAUCCGAAGACGGCGGGUUCGAUUCCCGU